rnacentral:rRNA from 1 species
GCAUAUCAAUAAGCGGAGGAAAAGAAACCAACAGGGAUUACCUCAGUAACGGCGAGUGAAGCGGUAAAAGCUCAAAUUUGAAAUCUGGCUCUUUCAGAGUCCGAGUUGUAAUUUGUAGAAGAUGCUUCGGGUGUGGUUCCGGUCUAAGUUCCUUGGAACAGGACGUCAUAGAGGGUGAGAAUCCCGUAUGUGACUGGAUACCUAUGCUCAUGUGAAGCUCUUUCGACGAGUCGAGUUGUUUGGGAAUGCAGCUCAAAAUGGGUGGUAUAUUUCAUCUAAAGCUAAAUAUUGGCCAGAGACCGAUAGCGCACAAGUAGAGUGAUCGAAAGAUGAAAAGCACUUUGGAAAGAGAGUUAAACAGUACGUGAAAUUGUUGAAAGGGAAGCGCUUGCAAUCAGACUUGCACUUGGUGUUCAUCAGGGUUUCGUGCCCUGUGUACUUCAUCAAGUUCAGGCCAGCAUCAGUUUGAGUGGUUAGAUAAAGGCUUGGAGAACGUGGCCCUCUUCGGGGGGUGUUAUAGCUCCAGGUGCAAUGUAGCCUACUUGGACUGAGGACCGCGCUUCGGCUAGGAUGCUGGCGUAAUGGUUGUAAGCGACCCGUCUUGAAACACGGACCAAGGAGUGUACCUAAUAUGCGAGUGUUUGGGUGUUAAACCCAUACGCGUAAUGAAAGUGAACGCUGGUGAGAACCCUCAAGGGUGCAUCAUCGACCGAUCUUGAUGUCUUCGGAUGGAUUUGAGUAAGAGCAUAUUGGGUGCGACCCGAAAGAUGAUGAUCUAUACGUGAAUAGGGUGAAGCCAGAGGAAACUCUGGUGGAGGCUCGCAGCGGUUCUGACGUGCAAAUCGAUCGUCAAAUUUGCGUAUAGGGGCGAAAGACUAAUCGAAUCAUCUAGUAGCUGGUUCCUGCCGAAG